ensembl:rRNA 5S_rRNA 5S ribosomal RNA
GUCUACGGCCAUACCACCCUGAACGCGCCCGAUCUCGUCUGAUCUCGGAAGCUAAGCAGGGUCGGGCCUGGUUAGUACUUGGAUGGGAGACUUACUUCUUUUGCUACUAAACUGUACUGC